AGGGUUUUCAGGCUUGUGCGCGUGCGUUGGAAGCUGAGGCUCCUAAUUCGAUGUAAGGCUUGUAUUUAAGGUGAAUCAUCUCGCUGUGACUUUUUCCCGGGUCUGUCCAGACGCCGCCUCACUUUGUCUGUGUGUUGUUCAUUCAGUGAGUUCGUUCAGGAUUCCAAUGGGAAAUAUUGCUAAAACACUGACAUGUGGCGCUCCAGCCUACUGCCUUCUCCUGGCCCUAAAAUGAAUCAUUAACCGAACUGGAAAAGAAGAAAGGCUUUUGAAGCCAAAAUCACGGCUCUAUAAAACCACAACUGGUUACAAAGCCUUCCACGUGGUACUUCUCCUCUCUGAGCUCAAAUGUUGCUCCAGCAUUGCAUCUUGUUUUUAUUUACUCUUCACAACUUCUGUAAAGUGAAAAUCAAAAUGUGUUUCAUCUUUUGCCUUGACCAACAACUCAUAUCCAAACCAGAACAGCAGUGUGCUCUCUGAAGGCCACUUUGAGGCAAAUGCCUCAUUCUCCUUCUUCAAGUCUUCAAAUUCCUACUCUCACAAGAUGGUAGGCCCUACUAAGUUCCCCAGUUCAGCUGCUGCAGCUUAUACAGAUUUCAAUAUUUGUGAUUAUAUGGAAAGCAACCUGCUGAAAAUGUCAUAAAAUGUAGCAUGCAUAAAGUUCUGUGUAGAGUUUGCUGAAAAGAAACCCAGGGGUCUGGAAGUGGCACUGGCCCCUCAGAAAGGACAGGGCACCUGGGCAUCUUCAGUGAAAAAAGUCUUGCUUUCAUUGUGAUAUAUAGAG